GAUGAACGCUGGCGGCGUGCCUAAUACAUGCAAGUCGAGCGAACGGACGAGAAGCUUGCUUCUCUGAUGUUAGCGGCGGACGGGUGAGUAACACGUGGAUAACCUACCUAUAAGACUGGGAUAACUUCGGGAAACCGGAGCUAAUACCGGAUAAUAUUUUGAACCGCAUGGUUCAAAAGUGAAAGACGGUCUUGCUGUCACUUAUAGAUGGAUCCGCGCUGCAUUAGCUAGUUGGUAAGGUAACGGCUUACCAAGGCAACGAUGCAUAGCCGACCUGAGAGGGUGAUCGGCCACACGGGAACUGAGACACGGCCCAGACUCCUACGGGAGGCAGCAGUAGGGAAUCUUCCGCAAUGGGCGAAAGCCUGACGGGGCAACGCCGCGUGAGUAAUGAAGGUCUUCGGAUCGUAAAACUCUGUUAUUAGGGAAGAACAUACGUGAAAGUAACUGUGCACAUCUGGACGGUACCUAAUCAGAAAGCCACGGCUAACUACGU
rnacentral:rRNA from 1 species